rnacentral:rRNA from 1 species
UGAAAAUUUUUAACGGCCGCAGUACCUUGACUGUGCAAAGGUAGCAUAAUCACUUGACUUUUAAAUGGAGCCUGGAAUGAAAGAAAGCACGUAAACAACUUGUCUCAUUAGUAAUAUCUUUAAGUUAUUGAAGGAGUGAAAAUACUCUUAACUUUAAAAAUAGACGAGAAGACCCUUAGAAUUUUUAAAAUAUAUAAGUGAGACUUGUAAAAAUUUUUGUUGGGGCAACAAUAUUUCAUUUAAUAAGUAUUUAUUUAAAA